GUGCCAGCAGCCGCGGUAAUACGUAUGGUGCAAGCGUUAUCCGGAUUUACUGGGUGUAAAGGGAGCGCAGGCGGUGCGGCAAGUCUGAUGUGAAAGCCCGGGGCUCAACCCCGGUACUGCAUUGGAAACUGUCGUACUAGAGUGUCGGAGGGGUAAGCGGAAUUCCUAGUGUAGCGGUGAAAUGCGUAGAUAUUAGGAGGAACACCAGUGGCGAAGGCGGCUUACUGGACGAUAACUGACGCUGAGGCUCGAAAGCGUGGGGAGCAAACAGGAUUAGAAACCCCUGUAGUCC
rnacentral:rRNA from 1 species